rnacentral:lncRNA from 1 species
CUGUCACAUAUAAUAUAUAAGAAAUUAUAUCGUAAAUGAAAACGGUACAAGUGAAAGAAAGAGCAACUAGAAGAUCAGAAAAUUCUAUUCUAUAGGCACCAAAUGAAGUUAUUGAAGAAGCCGCAACGAUCCAAAGAGUUUUCUCUUGAUUCUCUGAUGAACAAAGGAACUUAUUUCUUGAGAAAACAACUGCUAGAGCUGCAACUUUUCUGGUUCAGAACAACAUCAAAGUU